rnacentral:rRNA from 1 species
UACGUGAGGGGCAAGCGUUGUCCGGAAUCAUUGGGCGUAAAGAGCGUGUAGGCGGCCAGAUAAGUCCGCUGUGAAAUCUCGAGGCUCAACUUCGAGCUGUCGGUGGAAACUGUCUGGCUAGAGUCCGGAAGAGGAGAAUGGAAUUCCUGGUGUAGCGGUGAAAUGCGCAGAUAUCAGGAAGAACACCCGUGGCGAAGGCGGUUCUCUGGGACGGUACUGACGCUAAGGCGCGAAAGCGUGGGGAGCGAACAGG